rnacentral:rRNA from 1 species
UACGUAGGUGGCUAGCGUUAUCCGGAAUUACUGGGCGUAAAGGGUGCGUAGGUGGUUUCUUAAGCCAGAGGUGAAAGGCUACGGCUCAACCGUAGUAAGCCUUUGAAACUGGGGAACUUGAGUGCAGGAGAGGAGAGUGGAAUUCCUAGUGUAGCGGUGAAAUGCGUAGAUAUUAGGAGGAACACCAGUUGCGAAGGCGGCUCUCUGGACUGUAACUAACACUGAGGCACGAAAGCGUGGGGAGCAAACAGG